UUAAGUUCAGCGGGUAGUCUCACCCGAUUUGAGGUCAAGGUUUUCUUUUUGUGGGUCCAGCCUCCCGCCGACGUAGACGGCAGUGACCGGAGCACCAUCAUUGUCAAUGAGACGGUUAGCAGCAGGCAUCCAAGGGACAGUGCUAAACCCAAAACGUAGAAACAUUUUAUCACGUCAAGGAUCAGCAAAGCGGACCCCAC
rnacentral:misc_RNA from 1 species